GACCUGGUCUACGGCAACUGAA
rnacentral:siRNA from 1 species